GGGUUGUGAGGUUAAGCGACUAAGCGUACACGGUGGAUGCCCUGGCAGUCAGAGGCGAUGAAGGACGUGCUAAUCUGCGAAAAGCGUCGGUAAGGUGAUAUGAACCGUUAUAACCGGCGAUGUCCGAAUGGGGAAACCCAGUGCAAUUCGUUGCACUAUCGUUAACUGAAUACAUAGGUUAACGAGGCGAACCGGGGGAACUGAAACAUCUAAGUACCCCGAGGAAAAGAAAUCAACCGAGAUUCCCCCAGUAGCGGCGAGCGAACGGGGAGCAGCCCAGAGUCUGAAUCAGCUUGUGUGUUAGUGGAACGGUCUGGAAAGUCCGACGGUACAGGGUGAUAGUCCCGUACACCAAAAUGCACAGGCUGUGAACUCGAAGAGUAGGGCGGGACACGUGGUAUCCUGUCUGAAUAUGGGGGGACCAUCCUCCAAGGCUAAAUACUCCUGACUGACCGAUAGUGAACCAGUACCGUGAGGGAAAGGCGAAAAGAACCCCGGCGAGGGGAGUGAAAAAGAACCUGAAACCGUGUACGUACAAGCAGUGGGAGCACCUUCGGGUGUGACUGCGUACCUUUUUGUAUAAUGGGUCAGCGACUUAUAUUCUGUAGCAAGGUUAACCGUAUAGGGGAGCCGCAGGGAAACCGAGUCUUAACUGGGCGUUAAGUUGCAGGGUAUAGACCCGAAACCCGGUGAUCUAGCCAUGGGCAGGUUGAAGGUUGGGUAACACUAACUGGAGGACCGAACCGACUAAUGUUGAAAAAUUAGCGGAUGACUUGUGGCUGGGGGUGAAAGGCCAAUCAAACCGGGAGAUAGCUGGUUCUCCCCGAAAGCUAUUUAGGUAGCGCCUCGUGAAUUCAUCUUCGGGGGUAGAGCACUGUUUCGGCUAGGGGGUCAUCCCGACUUACCAACCCGAUGCAAACUACGAAUACCGAAGAAUGUUAUCACGGGAGACACACGGCGGGUGCUAACGUCCGUCGUGAAGAGGGAAACAACCCAGACCGCCAGCUAAGGUCCCAAAGUCAUGGUUAAGUGGGAAACGAUGUGGGAAGGCACAGACAGCCAGGAUGUUGGCUUAGAAGCAGCCAUCAUUUAAAGAAAGCGUAAUAGCUCACUGGUCGAGUCGGCCUGCGCGGAAGAUGUAACGGGGCUAAACCAUGCACCGAAGCUGCGGCAGCGACACUAUGUGUUGUUGGGUAGGGGAGCGUUCUGUAAGCCUGCGAAGGUGACCUGUGAGGGUUGCUGGAGGUAUCAGAAGUGCGAAUGCUGACAUAAGUAACGAUAAAGCGGGUGAAAAGCCCGCUCGCCGGAAGACCAAGGGUUCCUGUCCAACGUUAAUCGGGGCAGGGUGAGUCGACCCCUAAGGCGAGGCCGAAAGGCGUAGUCGAUGGGAAACAGGUUAAUAUUCCUGUACUUGGUGUUACUGCGAAGGGGGGACGGAGAAGGCUAUGUUAGCCGGGCGACGGUUGUCCCGGUUUAAGCAUGUAGGCUGGUUAUCCAGGCAAAUCCGGAUAAUCAAGGCUGAGGUGUGAUGACGAGGCACUACGGUGCUGAAGUAACAAAUGCCCUGCUUCCAGGAAAAGCCUCUAAGCAUCAGGUAACAUCAAAUCGUACCCCAAACCGACACAGGUGGUCAGGUAGAGAAUACCAAGGCGCUUGAGAGAACUCGGGUGAAGGAACUAGGCAAAAUGGUGCCGUAACUUCGGGAGAAGGCACGCUGGUGUGUAGGUGAAGUCCCUGCGGAUGGAGCUGAGACCAGUCGAAGAUACCAGCUGGCUGCAACUGUUUAUUAAAAACACAGCACUGUGCAAACACGAAAGUGGACGUAUACGGUGUGACGCCUGCCCGGUGCCGGAAGGUUAAUUGAUGGGGUUAUCCGUAAGGAGAAGCUCUUGAUCGAAGCCCCGGUAAACGGCGGCCGUAACUAUAACGGUCCUAAGGUAGCGAAAUUCCUUGUCGGGUAAGUUCCGACCUGCACGAAUGGCGUAAUGAUGGCCAGGCUGUCUCCACCCGAGACUCAGUGAAAUUGAACUCGCUGUGAAGAUGCAGUGUACCCGCGGCAAGACGGAAAGACCCCGUGAACCUUUACUAUAGCUUGACACUGAACAUUGAGCCUUGAUGUGUAGGAUAGGUGGGAGGCUUUGAAGCGUGGACGCCAGUCUGCGUGGAGCCAACCUUGAAAUACCACCCUUUAAUGUUUGAUGUUCUAACGUUGGCCCCUUACCGGGGUUGCGGACAGUGUCUGGUGGGUAGUUUGACUGGGGCGGUCUCCUCCCAAAGCGUAACGGAGGAGCACGAAGGUUAGCUAAUCCUGGUCGGACAUCAGGAGGUUAGUGCAAUGGCAUAAGCUAGCUUGACUGCGAGCGUGACGGCGCGAGCAGGUGCGAAAGCAGGUCAUAGUGAUCCGGUGGUUCUGAAUGGAAGGGCCAUCGCUCAACGGAUAAAAGGUACUCCGGGGAUAACAGGCUGAUACCGCCCAAGAGUUCAUAUCGACGGCGGUGUUUGGCACCUCGAUGUCGGCUCAUCACAUCCUGGGGCUGAAGUAGGUCCCAAGGGUAUGGCUGUUCGCCAUUUAAAGUGGUACGCGAGCUGGGUUUAGAACGUCGUGAGACAGUUCGGUCCCUAUCUGCCGUGGGCGCUGGAGAAUUGAGGGGGGCUGCUCCUAGUACGAGAGGACCGGAGUGGACGCAUCACUGGUGUUCGGGUUGUCAUGCCAAUGGCACUGCCCGGUAGCUAAAUGCGGAAGAGAUAAGUGCUGAAAGCAUCUAAGCACGAAACUUGCCCCGAGAUGAGUUCUCCCUGAGACUUUAAGUCUCCUGAAGGAACGUUAAAGACGAUGACGUUGAUAGGCCGGGUGUGUAAGCGCAGCGAUGCGUUGAGCUAACCGGUACUAAUGAACCGUGAGGCUUAACCUUACAACGCCGAAG
rnacentral:rRNA from 1 species